UCUCACACCCUAUUCGUCACAUACUGCCGUUUGGUCAUGACCCCCUCACGUCCAUAGCGGACGUUGAGGGUACCCCCUAUUCGUCGCUUGAAAACGUAGAGGGUCGUCCUAUAGAUUUGAAUGCAAACCCCUCAUCUUUGAAUUUUGACGAAAUGGGUUUAUCGGAUUGCCUGCGCAAUAUGGUUUUAGACGAUUGAUUUUAUGCUGCAAAUGUGCAUUUUGCACAAGCGUGCGGCGCAUAAACGGUUACUAUUGAUGCGGUGACCAAACAUUUUCGUGGAGCGGAAACCCUUGUCUGAAUCGGUGUAUCACGACUUUUCUCUCUCUCUUUUUUAUAUAGAUAUAUUUGGUAUACAAUAAAAUGACAUAUUUACAGGGCUGUAUUUGCUGUGUGUUUAAAACAUGCCUUAAUUAACGUAGGAUAUUUUAUUAUUUUCGAUCACGCACAGUUGGUCAUUCCCCCUCACGUCCAUAAGCUGACGUUGAGGGUACCCCCCAAUUCGUCGCAUGACAACGUAGAAGGGUCGUCCGCGAUAUUUGAAUCCAAAUCCCUCAUCUUUGGAUUUUGGCGAAAUGGGGGUAUUCAUGCCUGCGCUGCAAAGUAUGUUUUAGGCGAUUGAUUUUAUGGUUCAAAUGUGUGUUUUGCAGUAGCGUGCGGCUGUUACAUUCAUUGGUGCGGUGACUACAUUUUCGUGGGGCAGAAUCCCUUGUCUAAAGCGGUAUCACGACUUUCUCUCUCUUUAAUAUGCUCUACAUUAAAAUGACUGUAUAUUUGCUGUAUGUUUAAUUAAGAUAGGACCCAGUCUCAAGGCAGUUCGUGUAAUUUAAUCUAUUGAUUCGUGUCCAUGGACACGAUUUUCCCCUUUCGUGCCAGUCAGAACGACUUUCAAUCUAAUGUAUUUCAAUAGGAAGUAUUUUUCGUGCCUGCAUCACGUUUUUUUUCCUAUUAUUUUUUUCGUGUUUAUAAGCACGAAUUUAAUCUAAUGUAUUGCAAUAGUAUAUACCAGGGAGCCAUGUUGUUUUACUUUAUUUGUCAUUAAUUGAUUACACUUUAAGCGCUACUUUACUCAACAUUUAAUCAGGAGAUGUUUAUCCUUUUUUAUUUGUUUAAUAUUCUGCAUGAUUGUUGUAAACCAUUGUAAACCAUCGUCAGCGGUACAAAAUUGUUAAUUUACGAGAAUGCAGAGUUUUUCUACUGCCAUCGUUUACAAAUGUUGCCGUUUUUUCUGAGAAAUAUUGAUUUUUCGAUCGGUUUCGUGUGUCAAAUACAAGAGUAAAUACUACAGUACCCAUGAGCCUUAUCGACAUCUACUAUGGUGAAGGCACCAGCUAAAACUACAUGUGGGCCCGCUGCAGAUCACAAUAUUUUCUCAACACAUGAACACUAACGUGUGCUUGAUAAUUCAACAAUACGAUGUUAUGGCCAUCAAUUUUGAUUGUUUCUACUUUGAUUGUAAAAAAAAAGAAGUCAGUUUCGGACGCCUGCAUUUCCCAGAAUCCUCUCUGCCUCCGUUGCUAUGGAAUCUGAGCCAGUCCUCUUUGCUAUUGGGUGAUUUCUUCUUCGGUACUCGUGACAGGGAUUCUCUCAUUACGCGAAAAUCACUGCCAGGUGAGUCACGAUGCUUUCGUUUAAAGUUCACUAUUUGUUUAAAUGUUAUAAUUCACGCCUUUCUUUUGGCAUUAGGCUGACAUUGCCAUACCCGUACGAAAAUGAACCAUGUUUUUUGUGGUAAAAGUGUAGUAACUACGGUUUGUGUAUCGAUUAUUUGCAAAAUGGUUUUAGUAAACCAAACAUGGUUUAACUUUUUUUUUUUUUCAAAUUCAUGGUUCUUUCUUAACUGUAGUAAAACAAUGGUUAAUUUUUGCAAGGGAAGUCUAAUUAAAGUCCCAUUAAUAAGCUAACGUUAACCUAGUUUAAGUUAUCAACCUUUAGGUUUAACUUAACGUGGUCAUUGCUUUAUUGUGUGAGCUUAAUAUAGUCUAAAGUUUUAAUAUUUGUCUUAUAAUAUUUGAAAGAAAAUAGGAAUCCCCACUAUUGGGGUACACUAUUUAAGCCUUAUAUUAGAGCUAAUUUACACUACAUAAUAAACAUUUUCUGUUCUCCCUACAGAUCCUGUCAUUCGAAUCACCUGUUACAACUUAGAUUUAUCGUUGCUUAUUUUAUAAACCCAAAGGCACUUUUAAGAGCCAUCCAUCCUCUCUUUCUUUAUCAUUUUCUGUCUAUUUCUUGCAACCUAUCUCUAUAUACUGCAUUUGUUGUACCUGUCUGUCCAGCUGUGUGUUUGUCCUUCUGUCUUUGUCUGCUUUGCAAUGGCCACCAGAUAUACCCCUCACAAACAGGAUCCCCGCUACCAAGAGGGGAGGCUCAUGGCUCUUGAGCUGAACCAUGACCACAUUCUAGCUGAAGCCAAGAGAGCAGCUGUGGAGACGAAACGUUUAUGCCCUAGAAGAGACCCUUCACAGACCUCUAAAAGGAUCUUUGUUGGCUGGGGCAUGCCGAGUCCUUGGGAGGCAAGGAGGGGUGACGCCAAGCCUCAGCUACAGGUGCAGAGAGUGGUUCUGUGGGGACCGUGGUGUAUUACGUCACAAAAAACAGCCACUCCACAAUAGGGAAUGUGUAAUUUAAUAGGUUUUUUGAAUCCAUCCGUCCAACCAAAUGCAUCAUUAAAGGGGAAGAUGGAUAUUGCACUCAACACAAGGUAUGUUCUCACAAAAGCCCUAAUUUUGAUGUUUUUAUUUGUCUUCAGCCAGUAACAGGUAAUCUAAACUAGUGGUUUUCUUUCUUUUUGGCAGUCGGCAAGAUGACAUACUGCUGUUGUAAACGCACAAACGUAAUAAUGCUUUCAGGCAAACCAAUCAUUUUAAUUACCAUCAAUGGUAAAACCAAUUCACAGUUUAGAUUUCCAUUUUAGAUUUGAUGUUUUUCACACUAUGUUUUGAUGUUUUCAAUGCUGUGGCAUUGUGCAGUAGAGUCAAAGUGCAUUGUAUAGCACAUUACAAUCCAAGUAGGGCAUCGUGAGCAAGGCCUGUUGUGGGAGUCUAAACGGGGGUCAACUGCACACAAUUUAUGUUUAGUUAUUAUUUAUUUAUUUUGUGAUUUUAGAUAUGUUCAUCAUUCACCAGUUCUCACUUCCCUGGACUUCAACCUUGCUACACACAUGGGCGUUUUGACUUGCAUCAGCCACUGUAUGUCUGUUAAACAUGCAAACAGCAAAGGACCCCAGACCUGAAAGACCUUCUGAGGAGUGGAUAUUGACCAGCUUCAAUAAACACCACCACACUUUACACACUGGACCUCCUGAUCUCCUUUCAAGAACUCAAGGUCAUCUCUCCAAGAUUCUCCAGACAAGCCUUCGCAAAGCUGCUGGAGCAUCGCACGAAGUGUGGAGGAAGAUCUGGAUAUAUCAACGGCGAUGCACUGCAACGCAGCUUCUUGGAGUUUUCAUACGCUUCAUUUGAAGCAGACCAGCUCUGGUGUGGUGCUCCUUUCACCUGCCCAGCCUGAACGCUAGAAUUGUUGGCUGCAUCAGCAGAUCGAAACAGAAAGCUAUAUCACUUUUGCCCAAACAGAAGACUGUGGCUUGCAAAUAUUGGCCAUACUUGAAGAAGGUUGCUAGUGUCCUUCCUGAUCUUCAGGAGCUGACCUCAAUGAAACCUUUUCUUAAUGUUAUGCAUGCUUGAGCCACGCUACAAAGUGUGAGAUUAAAUGAAGUGGUAGGAACAGGGACAACCACCGGUGUGUGGAACAAGUGAACAGCUGCCUAUCACGUUGUGCCCGUACAACCAAAUGGGUGGAUGCUUACAUGCUUACAUUGCAUGCAAUGGGCUGGAACCAUAAAAAGUAUCUCUCACAUAUAUUGUGGAAAGUGCCUGAUGUAGAAA